CGAAUAGAAGCCCGCUGGCUUGGGUGUUUAGCUGUUAACUAACCAAUCGUGGGAUCAAGGCCCGCCUAUUCAG
rnacentral:tRNA from 1 species